GGCAUUUGUUAGGAGCCCCUGGUCAUCUCAUGGACUAUUGACCCAUACACUACUAAUCCACUGCCACCAACCAGGUCCUCCCCACUAAAUCCCUUAGUCUCAGUCAGGUUCUCAAGUUAACAAAGAGUGUAGUUUAUUUCAGACACAAACAAACUUUAACUGCAUUCCAGACGUUGUUACUCUUUACCUUCUUAGUCUUAUUUUAUCCUGUCUCUAUCUCUUCUACCUCCCCUCACACAAGAACCCACAGCACCUACUGUCUCUCUAUUUCCAACUGCCUGCCAACUGCUUUUCCAACUGCCUUUCCCAACCAACCAACCCACUAAAACCAACCAACUACCCACCAACAACCAACUCAAACUAAGCCCUUUUAUAUACAGGUAGGCUCCGCCUCCGGCUUUCCUAUUGGUUUACAUAUUAACCCUUUCUCUCCCCCUGUGCAGACAUUUUUCAAACAAACAGGCAAACACCACAAAUAUAUUCUAGGUUGAACACUUGUUCUUUUCAGGGCCAUCUUACUGAAGUGUAGGUGGGUUCCCACGAGGCAAGACACAGUGAUAACAGCAAGAACCUUUAUUGAACUACAUAACUGGACAACAGGGGCAAAGCAACUGCUGAUAUACACAUUCCUGGAGGCCUGGGCCACUCCCAUUCCCAACGUGAUUGGCUUUCUAAACUUCCAAGCUGUGAAUCAUAAGGCAGAGUUUAAGGGCCAGUGGCGGAGGCCCAAAUCCUGAAAUGUUCUGUGAUUGAAUCAUAGAAUCAUAGAAUCAUAGAGUUGGAAGAGACCACAAGGGCCAUCGAGUCCAACCCCCUGCCAAGCAGGAAACACCAUCAGAGCACUCCUGACAUAUGGUUGUCAAGCCUCUGCUUAAAGACCUCCAAAGAAGGAGACUCCACCACACUCAUUGGCAGCAAAUUCCACUGUCGAACAGCUCUUACUGUCAGGAAGUUCUUCCUAAUGUUUAGGUGGAAUCUUCUUUCUUGUAGUUUGGAUCCAUUGCUCCGUGUCCGCUUCUCUGGAGCAGCAGAAAACAACCUUUCUCCCUCCUCUAUGUGACAUCCUUUUAUAUAUUUGAACAUGGCUAUCAUAUCACCCCUUAACCUCCUCUUCUCCAGGCUAAACAUGCCCAGCUCCCUUAGCCGUUCCUCAUAAGGCAUCGUUUCCAGGCCUUUGACCAUUUUGGUUGCCCUCCUCUGGACACGUUCCAGUUUUUCAGUGCCCUUCUUGAAUUGUGGUGCCCAGAACUGGACACAGUACUCCAGGUGAGGUCUGACCAGAGCAGAAUACAGUGGCACUAUUACUUCCCUUGAUCUAGAUGCUAUACUCCUAUUGAUGCAGCCCAGAAUUGCAUUGGCUUUUUUAGCUGCCGCGUCACACUGUUGGCUCAUGUCAUGUUUGUGGUCAUCCAAGACUCCUAGAUCCUUUUCACAUGUACUGCUCUCAAGCCAGGUGUCACCCAUCUUGUAUUUGUGCCUCUCAAUUUUUUUGCCCAAGUGCAAUACUUUACAUUUCUCCCUGUUAAAAUUCAUCUUGUUUGUUUUGGCCCAGUUCUCUAAUCUGUCAAGGUCGUUUUGAAGUGUGAUCCUGUCCUCUGGGGUGUUAGCCACCCCUCCCAGUUUGGUGUCAUCUGCAAAUUUGAUCAGGAUGCCCUUGAGUCCAUCAUCCAAGUCGUUGAUAAAGAUGUUGAAUAAGACCGGGCCCAAGACAGAACCCUGUGGCACCCCACUAGUCACUCUUCUCCAGGAUGAAGAGGAACCAUUGAUGAGCACCCUUUGGGUUCGGUCAGUCAGCCAGUUACAAAUCCACUGAGUGGUAGCAUAGUCAAGACCACAUUUUACCAGCUUCUUUACAAGAAUAUCAUGGGGCACCUUGUCAAAUGCCUUGUUGAAAUCAAGGUAGGCUACAUCCACUGCGUUCCCUUCAUCUACCAGGCUUGUAAUUCUGUCAAAAAACGAGAUCAGGUGAGUCUGACAUGACUUAUUUUUCAGAAAUCCAUGCUGACUAUUGGUGAUCACAGCAUUCCUUUCUUGGUGCUCACAGGCUGUUUGCUUAAUGAUCUGCUCCAGAAUCUUCCCUGGUAUUGAUGUCAGACUGACUGGGCGGUAAUUAUUUGGGUCCUCUCUUUUCCCCUUUUUGAAAAUAGGGACAACAUUUGCCCUCCUCCAGUCUGCCGGGACUUCGCCUGUUCUCCAGGAAUUCUCAAAGAUGACUGCCAGUGGUUCUGAGAUCACAGCUGCCAGUUCUUUUAAUACUCUUGGAUCCAGUUCAUCUGGCCCUGGAGACUUGAAUACAUCUAAACUAGCCAAGUAUUCUUGUACUAUCUCCUUAGUUAUUCUGGGCUGUGUUUCCUUGCUGAAUCAUUUGCUCCAAAUUCUUCAGGUCGGGCAUUGUUUUCUUUAUUGGAGAAGACUGAGGCAAAGAAGGCAUUGAGGAGUUCAGCCCUUUCUGUGUCCCCUGUUUGCAUUUCACCAUCUUCUCCUCUGAGUGACCCCACUGUUUCUUUGUUCUUCCUUUUGCUAUGAACAUACCCAUAAAAGCCUUUUUUGUUGCUUUUAACCUCUCUAGCAAGCCUGAGUUCAUUCUGUGCUUUAGCUUUUCUGACUUUGUGUCUACACAUGCUGGCUAUUUGUUUGAAUUCCUCUUUGGUGGUUUCCCCCCUUUUCCAUUUUUGUACACAUCCUUUUUAAUCUUAACUCAGUUAAAAGUUCUUUAGAUAGCCACCCUGGCUUCUUUAGGCACCUUCCAUGUUUCCGUCUCAUUGGUAUUGCCUGACGUUGUGCUUUUACUAUCUCCCUCUUAACAAACUCCCAGCCAUCAUGAACUCCCUUUCCUUUUAGUAUUACUGUCCAUGGGAUCUCACCCAGCACUUCCCUAAGUUUUAUGAAGUCGGCUUUCUUAAAGUCAAGAAAUUGAGUCCUAGUAUGCUUGGCUGCUCCUUUCCGCUGUAUAGUAAACUUCAGAAGAGCAUGAUCACUUGCGCCUAAUGAUCCUUCCACUUCUACCCCACUAACCAGGUCAUCAACAUUGGUUAGGACCAGAUCUAAAAUGGCUGUUCCUCUUGUUGCUUCUCCCACUUUCUGGACAAUGAAGUUGUCUGCAAGGCCAGUGAGGAAUCUGUUUGACCUUAUGCUCUUGGCUGAGUUUGACAUCCAACAAAUAUCCGGGUAAUUGAAGUCCCCAUUACUACUAUCUCCCUUCCUUUUGCAUGCUUGGCCAUCUGUUCCAGGAAGGCAUCAUCUAUGUCCUCCAUUUGGCUUGGGGAUCUAUAGUAAACUCCCACAAUGAGGUCACUGUUAUUCUUCUCUCCCUUAAUUUUGACCCAAAUGCUCUCACUUUGGCUUUGAGGUUCUAAAUCUUGGAUCUCUUCACAGGUAUACACAUCCCUGACAUAUAACGCCACUCCUCCUCCUUUCUUGUCUGGUCUGUUUCUCUGAAAUAGAUUGUAUCCCCCAUUAUUACAUUCCAAUCGUGGGACUUAUCCCACCAGGUUUCAGUGAUGCCUAUUAUGUCAUAUUUAGUUUGCUGUACCAAGAGCUCAAGCUCAUCUUGUUUAUUUCCCAUGCUUUGCGCAUUAGUGUACAGACAUUGAAGUCCAUUAAUAAUUCCCCCGUGUCUCUUAUUUAAGCAUUUUUACCUCCCACCACAAGGUCUGCGUGCUGUUAGCUACAUUUGGUCUAUGACAUUUGGAUGAUAAUCUUCAUCAAGUUAUAUACUCCUACCUUCAGGAGAACUGUCUCCCUCCCCACAUUAGUCAGUUUAAAGCCCUCCUGAUGAGGUUUCUGAGAUUUUUGGCAAAAACAUUUCUCCCAACUGUUGUGAGGUGCAGCCCAUCGCUUGCCAGAAGUCCAUCUUCAAGAAACUGCAGUCUGUGAUCUAAGAAUCCAAACCGUUCCUGUUUACACCAUUUUCGAAGCCAGCUGUUCACUUCCACUAUUUUUCCCUCUCUCCCUGGGCCACGCCGUUCAACUGGGAGGACAGAUGAGAUGACAAUUUGUGCAUUUAAUUGCUUCAAUUUCCUGCCCAGAGCCUCGUAGUCUCUUUUGAUCUUCUGGAGGCUAUUGCUUGCAGUGUCAUUGGUUCCCACAUGAACCAAGAGGAAGGGGUAUUUGUCAGUGGGUUUUAUGAUUCCUUGCAGUCGUUCAGUUACAUCUUGGAUCUUAGCCCGGGGAGACAGCACACUUCCCGAGACAUCUUGUCAGGCCCACAGAUCACUGCUUCUGUUCCCCUCAGUAGGGAAUCCUCUAUCACCACUACACGCCUCCUCUUAGGUUUGGUCGGGGUUCUUCCGUGAGCUGUCCGUUCCAAGGUCGCCUGCACAUUCCCUGAGGACUGACUUUGCUGCUCAUGAUUGGAUAUCAUGUAUCGAAUCAGAACACAGGGGCUCAGAAUCCUUAGUCCAGACACAAGCUCAGGCAAACACAGACCACUGAAUACAUAACACAUACAACUAUUUUUUAUAUGGAAGGGCUAUUUGCCAGUUGUUUUUAAUCACAUCGUAUCAGUUAAUGGAAACUACAGGAGGGAAGAUUGCUGUUGUGCACAGCUCCUGCCUGUGUGUGUGCACAACAGCAAUUUUCCCUCCUGUGGUUUCCAUCAACCACAGGAGGGGAUCUGGUUGGCCUCUGGGAGAACAGGAAGCAGGAAUAGAUGGUUCAUUGGCUGAUCCACCAGGUUUUCCUUACAUUUUCAUAUAUUACAUGGGAAGUACAUCCACUGAUGUUAUAAGUAGCCUGCUAAAGCCACCUUGCAAAUGAUUAGGCUUAUGCAAUUAAACACAUCAUGCUAGCAACUGUUUGCAACGACAGUGAGAGAGAAUCAUGGGUGGAAAGACCUCCAGUGUAAACAGUGAGAGCAGUGUCCUACAAAUAUGGUGUGAGAGAAGAUCACCUGGGUGCAACGCGGCCUGUGCAUCUAAAUCUACUGGGUUUGCGAUGGGGAAGAUGAGGGAGCAAGAGCAGGCAGACAUGUGUUUUCUUUUUGAAAUGGUAUCAUGCCCCAGUAAUCCUCAGAUAAUAUUCCAAUGCUCUUGUAAAUUGAAUUGAGUGUAUCCAUGGGAACAAGAACAGAGAGAAAAAAUUAAAGCUUCCAAGACGUUGCUUUGGGGUCGCCUCUAUUUUGACGGGGGCAACAACAAAAAGAAGCAGUGAAAAUUUGAAACAAAAGGGGAGAAAAAAGAAAUAUAUUGGAUGAUUCAGUGUAUUCUUUUAGCAGGCAGGAGUCACAAAGGAGAUGAGUGUUUGACUUUCAGUCUUUUUAAGGACUUGGAAGCUGACUAGCAAGACAUUUUUAGGCUGAUGGUCUCAGGAGAAGUCAUUGUUAUGUUCCUUUCUCCAAAAACAGAGUUCUCUGAAAUCAAAAUACUGGUAUCUGGGAACAUGCCAUGGCUUUUUGCCAGCAGCUGAAGAAGAAUACCUAAAGGAGCGUCUCGACCCCCAUCUUUCAGCCCGGACACUGAGAUCCAGCCAGGAUUUUUCCAUCAGAGAAGGCAUCAAUUUCAAUAGAAGAGAAAUGCUGCAGAAAAUAGUGUAAUUAUUUACACAGCAUUUGUGAAGUAAUAAAAAAUAAAUAAAAUAACAGC